rnacentral:sRNA from 1 species
AGCGGCAGCGUGCGUGGCGUUGUGCAAAGUGGAGCGACAAAAAAUUUUAAGUUAGGGGAUACCGGUAAAUUUUCGGCUUUAUGGUGAGUAUGGGAACUGGAGAUCUGACUGGACAGUGCAUUUACUACUGUUGGAAUGAAUUUAUACAUAAUAUAAACUGGAACUCUUGAGGAUUUGGGGGAAACGACUCUGAUCAACUUGAGUAACUAACAAAUGCACGUCACUACUUAAUGCUUAAUGAAUCCCUCAACCCUGUGCCCAGUUUUGAAAGAGAAAGAAUUUAGAACUGUUCAGAAUCAUGAUAUUCAUUCCUCACCUCACCCAUCCCUCACUCUAUCACCCAAUACUUGUCCCAGGUCGGUUUUAUUGCCCCUUCUCUCCUACAGUUAAUAGUAACCUACGUACAGUAAAGAUGAUCAUGGUCUUUCAUGUUAUGGUAUGUUUGUAGGAAGUCCCUCCCUAUGAAUGUAUGUACUGUACGUAUGUAGCAUUAAACAAAGAAGCAGAUUAAAAAAAAAAAAAAAAAAAAAAAAAAGAUAAAAAAUAACAAGCGAGCGGAUUCAGACCCAAACCGAACAACUCACAUAUUUUAAAAAGAGGACGAAGAGGAAGAGGAAAUAUAUAAACACUAUCCCCGCUGCACAUACUCCCUCGCCUCCUGCGGCGUAAGUCGCUUCCCCGUCUUAUCAUAGAACCGCGAACUAAUCCGCAGCCAUUUCUCCUCAUCAUACUGCGCCGCCAGCCUAUUGAGGAGCAAUAUCUCCUCGAGGCUGAAAUUCUCGUCAACGUAGAGGAUUUUCUUCUUGUGGGGAGUUCGUGUGUAGGUGGACGUGUAGUUGUCGGCAACCUAUCAAUCAAACGUCAAUGAAGAAAGGAGAAGUUGCUUUGGUUUCAAAUAUAGUAGAUGGGAUAUUCAAUACGGAACGAAUGCUCUUUCUUAUUAGCAGAAGAGACGGGGAGGAAAGGGGAAUAUGAGGUGACAUGACGUUUUAUCACCUACCUUGCCGGCCAUGAUCAGCGGAUCGGAGAAUGAAACUCGCCGCUCGUGCCUCCUGUUCGUGUCUGUCUGCUGCUGCUGCUGCGAUCUUAAGCUAGCCUCGCCCUGUGCGCUGGUAUGUGCUCGUGGGAUCUUAUGUUCCACUGCCGGCCGAAUUAUCCCCCACCGAGUCUUAAGUGACUGAACGGGUCUACCCAUGGACGUUGAUAUCGCUUUCCAGCUCAUAUCCUCCGCCUUUAAUCGCCGCAGCGUAUCAUCAUCAUCUGUUGUCCAUCCCUGUUGUGGCUGUUGUGACUGUGGUUGUGGCUGUGGCUGCUGUUGUUGAAGAGUUGGACUGAUGCUCGCAUUAUUCGCGCUGGAACCGCCACCAGUGCUCGCCGGAUUUGUUUGCACCUGAUCAACCGAUGUUUGGGGAACGGGUUGGUAUUGUAGAGCAGACUGGGUUCCGUUCGCCUGGUUGGCAUCUUUGGACGGAACAGGGACGUAGACGAGCGGAGGGUAACCCGGGGGCAGGCUGGGAGGGGAUCCAUUGCGGAAAUUGACUGGGUAUCCCCUAAUUGUUGUGGAGCGAGCAGCUAGGUCCGCUGUUGCUUUCUUGCUCCUGGCUGAUGCUGCGGCUUUCUGGAGUUCUGGCUGUUAGAAAAGGAGGAUAUUUGAACACCCAGGCAUUGCUGUCUAAACUAUUUUUCCUACCUUGUAGGCUGCCGCAGCCAUCUCCUCCUGGAUCGUCUUGGUGCUCUUGAAGACAUCGGCAAAAGACAACUUCAACCCUCCUCUGCCAUCGGUAUAUGCAGGCAUGUUGUUUCUGUUUAUUUUGUCUGUCGUUCACUCCUCAAGCCCUGGCACUUUUCAAAACCACUGAUGAGUUACAGACAGUGAGGAUGGGUUGGAGCAUUUGGUAUAAGUUAUGUAUAAACGUGCGAGUGUGUGUGGGAGAGGUACCAUGAGUUUUUUCACAAUGAAGAGGAAAACAGGAAGUCACCCAACAACAGAGAUCCUCCUCACAGAGCCAGCCAGGCUGGGUGAGUUUCUUUCCAGAAAUUAACCUUGAAAUAUAUAUUUUUUUCCUAGUUUAGAACUCCACUAAACAAAAGAUAGCUGGGGAGCCAUAGAAUGAGAAAAAGAAAUAUAGGUAUAAUACAAGAGAGGAUCUCUUCGUAGACAAUAUCAAAUCACCAUUUAUAUUCUGUCACAGGAAUAUAAGACAGUUUUUUUAGAGAAUUGCAAGUGUAAGUGUCAAUAGA